rnacentral:rRNA from 1 species
GACGAACGCUGGCGGCGUGCCUAAUACAUGCAAGUCGAACGCUUCUUUCCUCCCGAUUGCUUGCACUCAAUUGGGACGAGGGGUGGCGGACGGGUGAGUAACCCGUGGGUAACCUACCCAUCAGCGGGGGAUAACACUUGGAAACAGGUGCUAAUACCGCAUAACACUUUAUGCCGCAUUGCAUAAGAGUGAAAGUCUCUUUCAGGUGUCGCUGAUGGAUGGACCCGCGGUGCAUUAGCUAGUUGGUGAGGUAACGGCUCACCAAGGCCACGAUGCAUAGCCGACCUGAGAGGGUGAUCGGCCACACUGGAACUGAGACACGGUCCAGACUCCUACGGGAGGCAGCAGUAGGGAAUCUUCGGCAAUGGACGAAAGUCUGACCGAGCAACGCCGCGUGAGUGAAGAAGGUCUUCGGAUCGUAAAACUCUGUUGUUAGAGAAGAACAAGGAUGUUAGUAACUGAACGCCUCCUGACGGUAUCUAACCAGAAAGCCACGGCUAACUACGUG